AUUGAACGCUGGCGGCAGGCUUAACACAUGCAAGUCGAGCGGAGAUGAGGUGCUUGCACCUUAUCUUAGCGGCGGACGGGUGAGUAAUGCUUAGGAAUCUGCCUAUUAGUGGGGGACAACAUUCCGAAAGGAAUGCUAAUACCGCAUACGUCCUACGGGAGAAAGCAGGGGAUCUUCGGACCUUGCGCUAAUAGAUGAGCCUAAGUCGGAUUAGCUAGUUGGGGGGGUAAAUGCCUACCAAGGCGACGAUCUGUAGCGGGUCUGAGAGGAUGAUCCGCCACACUGGGACUGAGACACGGCCCAGACUCCGACGGGAGGCAGCAGUGGGGAAUAUUGGACAAUGGGCGGAAGCCUGAUCCAGCCAUGCCGCGUGUGUGAAGAAGGCCUUUUGGUUGUAAAGCACUUUAAGCUAGGAGGAGGCUACCUAGAUUAAUACUCUGGGAUAGUGGACGUUACUCACAGAAUAAGCACCGGCUAACUCUGUGCCAGCCGCCGCGGUAACAC
rnacentral:rRNA from 1 species